UACGUAGGGGGCGAGCGUUGUCCGGAGUUACUGGGCGUAAAGGGCGUGUAGGCGGACGUGUAAGUCUAUUCUGAAAGCUCCUGGCUAAACUGGGAGAGGCGAAUGGAGACUGCAUAUCUAGAGUGAGGAAGAGGCGAGUGGAAUUCCCGGUGUAGCGGUGAAAAUGCGCAGAUAUCGGGAGGAACACCAAUGGCGAAGGCAGCUCGCUGGGACGUGACUGACGCUGAGACGCGAAAGCGUGGGGAGCAAACAGG
rnacentral:rRNA from 1 species